GUUCAAGUGCAGAAAGGGCCCAAUCUGGUGGAUGAACCACACGGCCAGCUUCUGGAUGCAGGCACAGUGCCACAUUUUUUGUCACUUCCUGAUGCGCCCCACCAGCACUGAAGAGACAGCCUGGAGACAGGGCAAGAGGAAGGCUGAGAAGGAUGAGUUGGUGAGUGCCAGAUUCUUCCUGACCCUGAGCCCACCCCCAGGGCGACACUCAACCUUUAGGAGUGGGAGAGCAAGAUUGACGGCUUCAAGUGCUUCACCAAGAAGAUGGACAACAGGGCACUCAGCUCAACUUCACAGCCAAUGAGUGGUGACAGGCUUUAAGAAAGAGCAUCAGAAGGCUGCCAGUUCUUCUUCAGCCUCAGCCAGGCCUUGGAGCUGGACCAGGCCAUUCACUUGAGUAUAGAUGCCUUCCACACUGUCUGUGAGGUCUUUGCCAAUCAGUCCAGGCAGGACCUGGACCCAGCCAUGGACCUGUUAGUGCUGUCUCAGGGACACCAGACCAACAUCCUGGACAUCAUCCACAUACACA
rnacentral:lncRNA from 1 species